rnacentral:rRNA from 1 species
GAGUUUGAUCAUGGCUCAGAUUGAACGCUGGCGGCAGGCCUAACACAUGCAAGUCGAGCGGUAGAGAGGAGCUUGCUUCUCUUGAGAGCGGCGGACGGGUGAGUAAUGCCUAGGAAUCUGCCUAGUGGUGGGGGAUAACGUUCGGAAACGGACGCUAAUACCGCAUACGUCCUACGGGAGAAAGCGGGGGAUCUUCGGACCUCGCGCCAUUAGAUGAGCCUAGGUCGGAUUAGCUAGUUGGUGAGGUAAUGGCUCACCAAGGCGACGAUCCGUAACUGGUCUGAGAGGAUGAUCAGUCACACUGGAACUGAGACACGGUCCAGACUCCUACGGGAGGCAGCAGUGGGGAAUAUUGGACAAUGGGCGAAAGCCUGAUCCAGCCAUGCCGCGUGUGUGAAGAAGGUCUUCGGAUUGUAAAGCACUUUAAGUUGGGAGGAAGGGUCGUAACCUAAUACGUUACGGCUUUGACGUUACCGACAGAAUAAGCACCGGCUAACUUCGUGCCAGCAGCCGCGGUAAUACGAAGGGUGCAAGCGUUAAUCGGAAUUACUGGGCGUAAAGCGCGCGUAGGUGGUUCAGCAAGUUGGAUGUGAAAGCCCUGGGCUCAACCUGGGAACUGCAUCCAAAACUACUGAGCUAGAGUACGGUAGAGGGUAGUGGAAUUUCCUGUGUAGCGGUGAAAUGCGUAGAUAUAGGAAGGAACACCAGUGGCGAAGGCGACUACCUGGACUGAUACUGACACUGAGGUGCGAAAGCGUGNGGAGCAAACAGGAUUAGAUACCCUGGUAGUCCACGCCCGUAACGAUGUCGACUAGCCGUUGGGAUCCUUGA